GUGCUCGCUUCGGCAGCACAUAAACUAAAACUGGAACGAUACAGAGAAGAUCAGUAUGGCCCCUGCGUAAGGAUGACACACAAAUUCGUGAAGCGUUCCACGUUUUU
rnacentral:snRNA from 1 species